UACAGAGGUCUCAAGCGUUGUUCGGAUUCAUUGGGCGUAAAGGGUGCGCAGGCGGCGGGGCAAGUCGGACGUGAAAUCCCGGGGCUUAACCCCGGAACUGCGUUCGAUACUGCCUUGCUCGAGGACUGGAGAGGAGACUGGAAUUCCUGGUGUAGCAGUGAAAUGCGUAGAUAUCAGGAGGAACGCCAAUGGCGAAGGCAAGUCUCUGGACAGUUCCUGACGCUCAUGCACGAAGGCCAGGGGAGCAAACGGG
rnacentral:rRNA from 1 species